GAUGAACGCUAGCUACAGGCUUAACACAUGCAAGUCGAGGGGCAGCGCAGUGUAGCAAUACAUGGGCGGCGACCGGCGCACGGGUGCGUAACGCGUAUCCAACCUUCCCGUUACUCUUGGAUAGCCUUCCGAAAGGGAGAUUAAUACAAGAUGGUAUUCAAAUUUCGCAUGUUAUUUGAAUUAAAGAUUUAUCGGUAACGGAUGGGGAUGCGUGACAUUAGGUAGAUGGCGGGGUAACGGCCCACCAUGCCUACGAUGUCUAGGGGUUCUGAGAGGAAGGUCCCCCACACUGGAACUGAGACACGGUCCAGACUCCUACGGGAGGCAGCAGUGAGGAAUAUUGGUCAAUGGACGCAAGUCUGAACCAGCCAUGCCGCGUGCAGGAAGACGGCUCUAUGAGUUGUAAACUGCUUUUGACAAGGGUAACCCUGGGACGUGUCCCAGGCUGAAAGUACUGUACGAAUAAGGAUCGGCUAACUCCGUGCCAGCAGCCG
rnacentral:rRNA from 1 species